rnacentral:misc_RNA from 1 species
AAGUCGUAACAAGGUAACCGUAGGUGAACCUGCGGUUGGAUCAUUAAAAAAUGUUUGGUCUUGUGCCAAAUGAACAUUUGUGUGCACCAUUGUCUGUCUUUGGUAGUUCGAGUGCCCUCGGGGGUUCAACGUCCCGAGUGCCUACCUUCCUGUGGGGUUAAUCCCUGUGGUGAGGGUUGGGCUACCGCCUUUUUGUUAAACUUUUUUUGUAAUGACGUUUUCUGUCUGAACGAAGAGUUAAUCUUUAUUUGAUUAAUGAUUUGAAUACAACUUUUGACAACGGAUCUCUUGGCUCUC